UUUGUACCACAUGUUUGCUUUCACCUCGGGAUAUUGUUGAAUGGAGGAAGAUAAGUUCAUAGGCUCGGGAUCCAUCUUUUGAUGAAAAAGAAAGGGAAUGGUGCAUAUCAAAGACCGAUAGUAGUGCAUAGCAUAUACAAAUUGGUGUUGAACACAUGGAGAUCCAAGACAUAGUCGACCCCAAGUCACCAACUUCUUGUCCUCCACAAACACCAUGUUGUGGGUUUUUGCUCAAGUCACUAUCCACUGAUGCGAGAGAGCUUGUGCCCUAGCUCUUCAAGUGUGUUCCUUGCCUCUGGGGUUUUGUUGUGAGCACUCUUCGGAUUCUUACCGUUUAUGCUACUGAGCUUUGUUCACGUUCUAUAUAUCAAAGUGAAGGAAGUCACCUAAGCUUCUCAUGUACUCCCAAUUGUUUAGUGGACAAGAACUACUGGAGUAUAUAUGUAGACCUUACACAUGGAGAAGCAAUGUAUUUUUCUCUGAACUUAUACCGCUACUUCACUAUGUGUAAUAUAUUUCUCUGCAUUUUAUAGGUCUGCUUGUUUUUGGACGAUUUA